UGGCGAUCAAAACCCUAUUCAUGCCCAUUCAGAUUUUGAAAAAGAUAAAUGAACCACCUAACUGGAAACAAUGAAAAACUAUACCGAAGCCAAUAAAUAAAGGAUUGGAGUUCAGCAAAGAUUUCUCUCCUUCAGAAGUAGCUAGAAUCCUGGUUGGUCAAAAACAAUUUUGCACCCGAGAUGAAAGAAAAGUUUGGUAAGCUUGACUUUUUGAAUUCAAUGUCAUGAUUUUGUACUUAUUUUAAUACAGAUCGUGGCCCUUUCUUUUUUCAGCUGCCGACGGUCUUGACGGCAAGGAGCUUAUUGGAUUGUUUAAAGACGAAGCAGAAAUGAUGCAAUUUCUGCCUGUGUUUAAAGAAAGGAAACUUUUUAAGACUCUAAUAGGAAAUUUCUCGAUGACGACAAGGACAGCGAGCCUCCUAUCUCCACAAAUAACUCUCCAGCUAGUGACUCUCYCGCUCGAAUCACAGAAAAUAAUGUAGAAGAASCUCCACUCAUCUUCUGGUGGUUCUAGUAACAGUUUGGUCGUUACCCCUCAGUGGACACCUCCAAGCCGUGAGAGUGUAAAUAGAGAAAUAGAGGAGG